rnacentral:rRNA from 1 species
ACUCCUACGGGAGGCAGCAGUGGGGAAUUUUGCGCAAUGGGCGAAAGCCUGACGCAGCAACGCCGCGUGAGUGAUGAAGGCUUUCGGGUCGUAAAGCUCUGUCAAUGGGAAAGAAGUGUAUUGUGGCUAAUAUCCACGAUACUUGACGGUACCCAUAAAGGAAGCACCGGCUAACUCCGUGCCAGCAGCCGCGGUAAUACGGGGGGUGCAAGCGUUGUUCGGAAUUAUUGGGCGUAAAGCGCGUGUAGGCGGUUUGUUAAGUCUGUUGUGAAAGCCCUGGGCUCAACCCAGGAAGUGCACUGGAUACUGGCAGACUUGAAUACGGGAGAGGGUAGUGGAAUUCCUGGUGUAGGAGUGAAAUCCGUAGAUAUCAGGAGGAACACCGGUGGCGAAGGCGGCUACCUGGACCGAUAUUGACGCUGAGACGCGAAAGCGUGGGUAGCAAACAGGAUUAGAUACCCUGGUAGUCCACGCCGUAAACGAUGAGAACUAGGUGUUGCGGGUA